GACGAACGCUGGCGGCGUGCUUAACACAUGCAAGUCGAACGGAAAGGCCCUGCUUUUGUGUGGUGCUCGAGUGGCGAACGGGUGAGUAACACGUGAGUAACCUGCCCUUGACUUUGGGAUAACUUCAGGAAACUGGGGCUACUACCGGAUAGGAGCUCCUGCUGCAUGGUGGGGGUUGGAACUUUUCGGCUGUUGUGGAUGGACUCGCGGCUUAUCAGCUUGUUGGGGGGGGAGUGGCUUACCAAGGGUUUGACGGGUAGCCGGCCCGGGAGGGUGACCGGCGACAUGGGGACUGAGAUACGGACCAGACUCCUACGGGAGGCAGCAGUGGGGAAUAUUGCACAAUGGGCGGAAGCCUGAUGCAGCAACGCCGCGUGCGGGAUGACGGCCUUCGGGUUGUAAACCGCUUUCGCCUGUGACGAAGCGUGAGUGACGGUAAUGGGUAAAGAAGCACCGGCUAACUACGUG
rnacentral:rRNA from 1 species